rnacentral:misc_RNA from 1 species
UUCUAAAACAUGUUUGCCUUUAGAGCUGCGCCCCACCAUCACUUUUACUGCUAAUGAGCGGUUUCUUAUCCCCUGAUGCUGCCGGCCACCCCACCGCGGGUGCCAGGGUGCGGCACCCAACGCUGUGCGGAAGCCAAGCGCCCACAUCCAGCGCUUCGUGUGGUGGGCCUCGGACUCUUGGUGUCGGCGGACAGGUCUGGGCUGGCGGUGUGCCGAAGAGACGUGCGGCCUUGAUGGUCGCGUUGGGGCCCGCUCGCUACGAAUCGUGCCGACGGCUCAACACGUGUGCGCAACGGCGUGCAGCGGGCGCGAGUCUCUGUGCGGCGCCGGUGGCGCCGCACGUAUCCGAGGAAGGACGAGAAUGCAGGGCGCAUGACCCGACUCGACGGCAGACGGCUCGUGCUGGACGACGAGGAUUUAGCGGUGGCGCAGCAGAGGCAGGUGGGCUGCGGCUGCGUGCGCGUAUUCGCUGAGCUGCUCGCGAUAGAAGGACGUGCUGGCGCGCGAGAAAGAGCGAUGUGUAUGUGCAUGCUCGUGUAUGCCGCGCAUUGCGGAGGGUGCGCCAUAUUGUGUCCAGUGCGGCAGGGCUGGAAGAGGAAGGUGAGGAUGUGAUCCCAGGCAAGGCGCUGCGUGUGCGGGAGCCACCCACGUGGCGUACCCGAUGCGGGCCACCCACUCAGACGCAGGCGGAAGAAGACGUCUGUCGCUGACCUGUUACGACUGUUCCGAUGACGCUCGUGUGCGGCUUUUGUCGUGGUAGGCGAGGGUUUUUUCCCUUUUCUGCGAGGCGCUUCAAUGGCCCUCUUUUUCUUCGUGUUGCUGCUAAUGGCGCAGAGUUGCUUGCGGGGCGAGAGAGGUGGAAACGCGAGUGGCGAACCUGAAGGGAUUGAAAAAAGGUUGGAUGAGAGUUGCUCUGAGUUGUUUCGAGCAGGAUGGGUAGGUCGUGGCGAGUGAGCAGAGUCUGAUUAGCCGCGCGACGUUUUUUUUUUGCGGGCUGAAGAGGAGGGCUGAUCUGAAGACCACGGAAAAUGCCUGCAGCUAGUUGUACCCCUAUUCUAUUCCGCCCGGUGCCUACGACUCCAUCUUCGCGCUUCGCCGAGUCUUCAUUUCAGUCUAGUGGAGCGAGCGGAUGCCUGUGCUUUUCUUUGCUUCCGUCGUGCUGGUUCCUUAUCCCGUUUCGUGGUUAUGCACACACAUGUAUUUUUGCUUCUCUGUUGUCUGCGCCUGUUCGCUUGGUUCGCGCCUCAAGGCGCGCACACACACACAUACACACUGAAGCAUCUGCGCAGUGUCUGAAUUCCGUUCUCCACUAGUGAUAAAGACAGCGCGCCGGGGGGGGGACGGCUUUUUGGCCGUCUCGUGACACAUCAUGAGAGGAAAAGGAAACAACAGGGAGUGUGGUCCAGGAGCAGAGAGAAGGCGGUGGCGCACGCACUUUGGGUAUACGAAAAGAGGAUCAUAUAUGCUUGCCCGCCUUUUUUUCGAGUGCGUGAGUCUUAGCUUGUCUUCAUCGUGAUGAGACGCUACACAGUCUGCGAGUGCACAGCAGCCCCCUCUUCCCCCUCCCAAAAAAAAACCAAGCGGUGUUACCAGGCGUGGUAAAUGCGACUCCUGACGUGGUGAUGGUGGUGGUUAGGAGGCACGGGACGAGUAGCGGCAGGCCCUCCCUCUCCUUUUUGUAUGGUCGCCUAAUAAUCUUCUCAGACACGCAUACACGAACAUGCGGUGCAUCGCCACAGUAUCCAUCCAUCUCUCUCUGUGCCCUCUUCUAUUGCCACCCUUGCCCUUCUUGACCCCAACCUUCUCCACCGCACCCACGCCUGAUCUUCUAUGAUGACUAAAACAUAUUUUUUUUUGUGGGGGGCUGGCCGGGGGACUUCGCUAUUGCGGAUUUUGCCACCCAACCUACUCGCACGCGCAUACAUCGCCUGACGAGUAUAUCUCUCUCUAUGUGUGUGCUUGUGUUUGGGCACCGCUUGCAUG